CUGCGAGCGUGACGGCGCGAGCAGGUGCGAAAGCAGGUCAUAGUGAUCCGGUGGUUCUGAAUGGAAGGGCCAUCGCUCAACGGAUAAAAGGUACUCCGGGGAUAACAGGCUGAUACCGCCCAAGAGUUCAUAUCGACGGCGGUGUUUGGCACCUCGAUGUCGGCUCAUCACAUCCUGGGGCUGAAGUAGGUCCCAAGGGUAUGGCUGUUCGCCAUUUAAAGUGGUACGCGAGCUGGGUUUAGAACGUCGUGAGACAGUUCGGUCCCUAUCUGCCGUGGGCGCUGGAGAACUGAGGGGGGCUGCUCCUAGUACGAGAGGACCGGAGUGGACGCAUCACUGGUGUUCGGGUUGUCAUGCCAAUGGCACUGCCCGGUAGCUAAAUGCGGAAGAGAUAAGUGCUGAAAGCAUCUAAGCACGAAACUUGCCCCGAGAUGAGUUCUCCCUGACUCCUUGAGAGUCCUGAAGGAACGUUGAAGACGACGACGUUGAUAGGCCGGGUGUGUAAGCGCAGCGAUGCGUUGAGCUAACCGGUACUAAUGAACCGUGAGGCUUAACCUUACAACGCCGAAGCUGUU
rnacentral:rRNA from 1 species